rnacentral:rRNA from 1 species
AUUGAACGCUGGCGGCAGGCCUAACACAUGCAAGUCGAGCGGAGCGGCGGACGGGUGAGUAAUGUAUCGGAACGUGCCCAGUAGCGGGGGAUAACUACGCGAAAGCGUAGCUAAUACCGCAUACUAUUGGAGCGGCCGAUAUCGGAUUAGCUAGUUGGUGGGGUAACGGCUCACCAAGGCGACGAUCCGUAGCUGGUUUGAGAGGACGACCAGCCACACUGGGACUGAGACACGGCCCAGACUCCUACGGGAGGCAGCAGUGGGGAAUUUUGGACAAUGGGGGAAACCCUGAUCCAGCCAUCCCGCGUGUGCGAUGAAGGCCUUCGGGUUGUAAAGCACUUUUGGCAGGAAAGCGGUACCUGCAGAAUAAGCACCGGCUAACUACGUGCCAGCAGCCGCGGUAAUUC